UGGCAGCUUUCCGAGUUGUCUGGUCUGUGAGGUAGCAAGAAGGACACGGUCUGCAGCGCAGCGGCACAGGCGUCCACCGGGAGGGCCGAGUCCCCGCAGCUGGUCACCACAGCAAAGUAGUGUGUGGGGAUCGGGAUGUUUGUGCUGGACACAAACCUGCAGUCACACAAAAACACACAUUCAUCAGCAACGGGCCGUGUAACAGGUGCUGGUUCUGGUUCUGGUGCUGGUGCCAGUUCGGUGCUGGUUCUACUUGCCAAUUAUCUAAGAACCAGCUCGAUUCUCCACAGCCUGAGAGCCAGAGUGGGGCUAAGUACCUCCGUUGUCAUAGCAACGCAUCAUGACAAUCAGCAAUAAUGGAGGACUACAUGCCGAUACUGUUGCUCCUGGCUAUACAAAUUCCCGCUGGGAUUCAAAGACGGGCCUUGACAGCUCUUCGUCACCGCUAUGGACCGAGGAUACGAAGACAAUUAUCUCGCAUGAUUUAACUUUUAUUAUCAUCUUUUGCUGGGUUGCAAUGGCAACAGCAUCAAGCAAAACCCCGUUAGGGUGAACAGACGUCCCGGUUGGACCGGGGUGGUCCCAUAUUUCCCGACAAAAAGGCCUAUAGGGACCCGCCCCCCCCCCCAGCACCUGACGUAACCGGUUCUUAUCUCUAGACCAGCGCUACGUUGGUGCUGAGUUGGAACCCGUGUUCUUGGCCCAGAACCAGGUUUAUUUGUUUGGAAAAGCAAAAGAACCGGUUCAAUAUUUGGCACUGACUCCGAACCAGCACCAGAACCGCCUCGGUGGAAAAGACAUAUUAGUCCCUUAUUGAGAACCGCAGCUCGGGCUUGGUUGACACAGCAGUGGGCGUCCCGAUGGCCGGACACAUCGGAGAGAUUGAACCAUACGUGGUUGAGCGUCUGUCAGACCCAGACUCAGAGCAGCAGUCGGAUUCAGAUUAAAUAAGAAGCAAAACCUUACUUUGAUGACUAGUUUUUUGUUUUGUUUUUCAAACUGAAUUAUAGAACUGUGUAGAAAGUCAAAUGAAAUGAUGGAAUUCAUGAGAAAAUGUACUGAGUGGGCUGCAGGGAUGAAUAGAAAACAAUCCUCUUUUUCCUUUUAAACCCUGAGGAUGAAGUAAAAAUGUCAAAGUGGAGCACAAAUCAAGGUUGUUAAGCUGUCUAAGUGGUGAUGUUAUCUAGCCUCGAAGUCUAGACGCACCCUAGCAGCAGCAAAAACUGAGCUGGAAAAACCCCAAUUCUGAUCAGGCCAAUCACAUCGUUGAUAGAGUCGGUGGGCGGGCUUAACAUGAGGACGGCAGAGUUGGGACGGUUCCACGUGAACUCCCUGUUGUAAACAAAGAAGAUGAUUGUCUUUGGCAGCGACUCUGGAAGACUUGGAGUUACUGGUUCCACUUAUCAUUCCACUUAUUUAGUAUUAUUCAUCUUUCCCAUUCUCACAUCUCACUUAUUAUUUUUUUUAUUUAUUAAUCAUUCUCAUCUCCUAAAACAUAACUGUUCAUACUGUAAUAUAAUAACAUAAUAAUAUUUAUCCCAGUAUCCUUUGCACUAUGCUCCACAUUUAAAUCAUUUUACUGAACUCUUCAUUGCACUCAUGCCUCUAUAUUGUUUCUGUUUAGAGUAUGUAUAUAUUAAUGUAUAUAUUAGUGUGUAUAUUAGUGUGUAUAUUUUUGUUUUGGUUGGUUUGUAUGUGUAAGCACAUUGUGAGCAACGAUGCUCCAAAGAAAAAUUCCUCGUAAAUGCCCUAAAGCUGAUUCUGAUUCUGAAGUUAUUCUGAAGUCAUUCUGACAAAAGGAGGUGUUAAGAGUUUUGCUGACUGGAUGUGUCAAAAGUUUAAUCUAUCAACUAGCGUUGCUCUGGUUGGUUGUAGCGCUAGCCUAUCGCAUGCAGAGGGAAUCUGAAAGACAAGCGUUUAUCCCGCCCCUGGGAUUGAGCCCUGCCAUUGGUCAGUUCCCAGAACCAACAUCUUGAUGUAGCCUCGGGGAAGACACAGGACUAGGUGGAGGGACGUCCAGCUGGGAGGAGGCCUCGGGGAAGACCCAGGACUAGGUGGAGAGAUUAUAUCUCCAACCUGGCCUGGGAACGCCUCGGGACCCCCCAGUUGGAGCUGGUUGAUGUGGCUCGGGAAAGGGAAGUUUGGGGUCCCCUGGUGGAGCUGCUGCCCCCGAGACCAGAUACCGGAUAAGCAAUGAGAUGAAGAUGGAUGGAACAUCUGGAUGUGAGUCUGGCUCGUCAGGCUAAAUGUUUAACAGUUUAACAAGAAAACAAAACCUACUCCUGGAUCUGCUCUGGAGUGUCGUACUGGCCGUCGUGGUUGUAAUCGAAGGCGGGGCCUGUCACCACGUUAACGCCGUUGUAAAUAGAAGCAUACUUCUUCAACAGCGUGCUGUAAAAAUAGUCCCAGAUCUCUAAAAGAGGAGAGGAGAGAAGAUUAAAUUCAAGGAAAAAAAGGUAAGUGGUGCAGGGUAGUUUUUUGCCGUGAUAUUGACCAGUAACUUACUCUUGAACUCGGGGUACAUUGGCACCACAUUACUCAUUAUUAGAGCAUCAAACUGCUGGUCCGCGGUCGCAUUCAGAUCUGCAAGAACAACCACAAACAGGGAUUCUUUCAGAUGUUAACAUGUGGUGUCAGGAAUAACUUGACUGAACGUGUAGCAGCAGGUGAUUUGUUCACAUUCACCCCAUGAGUUUAUAAAUCCAAGACAAAAGUCAUAGGAGCGCGAAAAAACAACAACAUAUUUACAAAUCUGUUUUUUACUUCAGCUCCAUGGAUUUAUAGAUACACAGUUGGUGAGUACUGAUAUUUCAGAGCUGUGGUCGGGGCCGUAUUCAACCACACCACCCCUCUGCUCCUGCCCUCUCUCCUACUAGGGGAUAGAGACAGGGUCAGACAUGCAUUUUGGGCAUUUUGCCAACAAGGGGGAUGGCUUCACCUCCUUAUCUCACCACAAAUCGCCUCGGGAGUAUAUCUGCCUAGUACGAAAAUUUGUAAAAAUCUGUGGACUUUAUAUGAUUAUAUGUUUUAAAUUUUCUUGCUAAAAAGUUAGGUUUUGGGUUUCCAUUUCCAAAUCUGCAUGCAAAUGUUUUACAAUUGUGCACAUAAACCACAACUUCAGUUUUGGGAAACCUAGCAUUCUGCUGCAUCAUCUCACUGGGCUGGGAAACAGUUAAAUACCUUUAAAAUGUUUGUUUAGGCCCUUCAAGUGUCAUAAUUCAUAUCUCUUUAAAAACAAACGUAAAGCUUCUUGAUUAAAAGACAACUCAGGAUGCAUGUGCCUCUAUCAGUGUGUCCAGCACAGGAAGUAGACAUUGCCUCUUUUCAUCUGUUGGAGUAAAUAUGUUAUCUCUUUUUUCUGAAAAUACACUAAUCAUGGUCAUAAAAAGCACUUAUUGAGGUCUGUCUGAAUCAUUCUGACAUGCUGCACUGUGUCACUUUCACGUUAACAAGAGAAAGAGAGAACAGCAGAA